GACAGGGGUUUCACUGUGUUGGCCAGGCUGGUCUUGAACUUCUGGUCUCAAGUGAUCCACCUGCCUUGGCUUUCCAAAGUGCUAGGAUUACAAGCGUAACUCACCAUGCCUGGCCCUGAUUUUCUACAUAGCAGUUUAACAUAAGCAUUAUCUUAUAUUGUAUUUCAACUUUGUAAAUUAAUUUAGACUUGAAUGCAUUCUUUUAUUGUCUUUAAACAUUUUACUGUUUUAUUGCUUUUACUAGGGAAAAAAGUUUGUCUCUGUGAAAAGUUGUAAGUUUAAUAACAUUCUAUAUUUUUAAAUACCUUAGUUUUUUUUGAAAGUUAAAAGAUUCUAUAUCAGGAAAGUGGGGGCAGGGAGUAUUCCAAAACUUUAGAUGAGACAAAAUGAACUCAUUUUUCAAAUAGUAAUCUCGUUAAUUACCCACUUGUGACUUAUGAACUAUCUGGGUUAUUUUUAAUUUUUCUUUUUCCCAUUUGUUUUCCCUUGAUUACUUCCCUCUCCCCUCUCCCAGAUUAGGAUAUCUACCUUAAUGAUAGAUUAAUGGUAAAGUACAUAUUAUUCUUUUAUCACACCAGCCUGACUUAGCUUUUGUAAAUGCAGUUAAGAAUAACAAUAACAUGACUUCUGCAAACUAUAGUUAACAUUGUUAGUCUGGAGCAUUUAAAUAUAACUUUAUUCCUAAAAGAGCAUGGGCCUGGAUGUUAGUGUACCUGUGUUUUUAGACUAAGGUCUAAAUAGACUUAUUUCUCGUCAGUAAAAUGAAAUGAUUUAAAAUUUUGAAUAUCUAUGGAAUUACCUUUAUUAUUUCUGUGGAAUAAAUUAGUAUUUUUGUGUGUUUUCUUUAUUUUCAGAUUUUAAUGAUAAUCUUCGAAUUGAGUUUUUCCUUUUUAAAUUUUUCUUAUUCCUUUUUAUGUCACAAAUGUCUCAGCAUUUUUUUAAAACUUAUUAAAUGAUGUUAAGAAAAUUAUGUUAAAUAUUAGGCAUUUUUAGAUUUAGCACAAUUGUCUCUAAAAAUAGAAUCUGCAGGAAACUCUCAGUUGACAGAAGAAAAAAGGAUUGAAGAUGGAAUAAACCAGUCGAUAGUUUACAAAUUAAACUGAGAUCUGGAUCUAUUCAUUAUAAUGACUUAAAGAUGAAUGAGAUUCAGACACUAUCUUUUCUAAGAAGACUCAAGGCCCAUAUGGUCUUAGAAAAAUGAUCAUAUAAUAACAUUUAAAAAAAUAGAUCAUGAUUGUAAUAGAGCCGACUAACAACACCUUAAUGGCACUUCUUCUAGAAACUUCUGAAGAUUUUCAGAAAAAUUUAAGUAUUGUGUAAUUAAAAGUUAUGCCAUUUUGAGCUGUAUUUCAUAACAUUAAGUAGCUUCUUUAUUUCAGUGGGUAUAUGCUAAGUACCAGUUUAUGUGCCAGCAUUUUGUUUAAUACCUGUAAUUUAAGCUGAACAGUAAUACUGCUGAGUAUUUGCUGGCAUGGUACUAAGUGCUUUUCAUUAUUCAAUGCAAUUCUUGUAACAGCACUGUGAGGUAGGUGUAAUUGUUUUCCUUCUUUUGCCUCUGAGGAAACUGAGGCUUAUAUUUUGGUCAAGGUCAGAAGUUUGCUCAAGACUAUAUUGCUGGGAAGUGGCACAAUAGGAUUCCAGGCCAAACUGUCUAGCUCCAGAGUCUGCUCUUCUGUUCUAUAUUGCCUAUAAAUGUAAGCUUUCUUUUCUCAGGCAACUCACAAUUUAGUUGGGAGGAGGGGAUCUUGCAGGAGAGCUAGAAAGAUGGAGACAGAUAAGUAAAUAGUAUGGUUAGUAGCAAAACGGAGCGUAUAUAAAGUGCUUUUAGAACACAGGUGAGGAAACAAUUACCUGAUGGCAAAGGGGAAGGACAGGUUACAGAGAGAAGGCGACUGAAGUAGAACUUCAAGAGCAGAAAGGAGCUUACCACAUAGGUAUGGGAUCAGAGAGGUUAGCAGGUACAGUUUCUCAGGAGGAGCAAUAUGGAAGUACUAGCCUUGGCAAACAUAGAGGAGCCUUGUGUAUGAAUUGUCCUUUUAAUGUAAUAUGAAUUGAAGUGUCUAAGUAAAAUUGAAAAUUCCAAAUUUAGAUUCAUAGUUUACCAGUACAGAAAAUGAAGAGUAUUUUGAACCAUUGUACUUUGUUUUCUUCCUGGCUUAUACUUAGUUUUGCAUUAGUGUGCCAUAGUUUGCAUGAUAAUGUAUGCCAUAAGAGUUGUGAGUAAUUGAGGUUUUGCAAAUUAUAUUUUUAAUGCAGCAGGGGGAACUCAUUAUUUGAAGGAGUACUGCCUCUGAAGCAUAAUAAAUGAAGAAACAUUUUGAAAAUGAUCACUCACUGAGUUAUCUAGUUUAUAUAGUUGGUGUAGAAGAAUUUGGAGAACAUUUAUUUUUGCUAGUUCUUAAUGUGAUAGAGGCAAAACUGCCUGACUGAAAGGCAUAAACCACAUAGGACUCCUAAUUGCCCGUUUAUAGCUGCUUGUUUACUCUCUCCCUUAGAAAUGAUGUAGUAUUAUGUGUAUUCCUGAGUUUGAAAUAUGACAGCAGUAUCUGAAUAUCUAACUUUGGUCUCCCUAAAGUAAGCCUAUUUGUUAAACAGGUGAGAUGGUAUUUGAGGUAGCUGUUAAAGAAUAGUUUAGCUUUAGACAUAGGGAGAUGGGAUAGUGUAUAUUGUGGGUAGGAGAGAUCACAAAGGAACAGAAUCAGGGCAUUCUAGGAUCUUCAGGGAUUCAGUGAGGAAGCCAGUUUGAAGUAAUAAUACUUGCGCAUAGAGAAGAGAGGAAAACCAGAAUUUGUGUGCUUAUAACAAGCCACGAACUUGACUAGGUGUUUCACCUGAGAACUCUAAAUCUUUGUAAUAGUCCUGUGAGGUAGCUUUUUAUUUACAGCAACAAAAAGAGAGGGUUUGUUUUUGGUUUAAGAAAGUACUCUUUUUAAGGAAAGGAAACAAUUUCAGAAGUCCCAACGUUCUCGGCAAUCAGUGAAAAACCUAAACCAGGCCAAUGAGGAACAUAGAACAAAAGAAGAGAAAUUUUAACAGUAAAAGGAUGGAGGGGGAUGGGGAUAACAAUCUAUAUAUAUAUAUGAUUUUAAGUUUUGUGUUCUUUUGUCUUCUUUUUGUGUUCUUUUUGUCUUCUUCACAAAUCCUCGUCUAACCUUUGCCUGAAUAUUUCUAGAGAUAGCAGGCUUGCUGCUACAUAUUAAGAUAGCCAUGUUUUUUCACUAGCUGUAAUUAUUGCAAAGUUUUCUCUUAUUGAUCUGAAAACUCUAGCAGAUUUAUCACUUUGGCAAGAACAUAAAAGCUCAAUUGCAGUUAAGGGUAGAUCUAGACCUCUGCAUAUUUUUACAUUGGGUUUGUAGUAAAACCUUUCUCUCUAAAGAUUGUAGUGUUUGCAAACAGUUUUACUGCUGCCAUGUGAUGGAGAUGUCACCAGCUGGUAUUCAGCAUGCUUAUAGAGCAAACUUGAAGAGACAUCUUAAAGUAAAACAUAUUUUCGAUGUUACAAAAGGUUCUUUCAGAUCUACAUAGGAGAAGAAGGCUUGGCUUCUCUUGCAAGUAUAAAUUUAAAUAUGUAUUUUAAGUUUACUUAGUAAAGUAAUGCACAUUUAAAAAUUAAACAUGCCAAGUGUGGUGGCUCACUCCUAGAAUCCCAGCACUUUGGGAGACCAAAACAAGAGGAUUGCUUGGACCCAGGAAUUCAAGACCAGCCUGGGCAAUAUAGGAAGACCCCACCUAUACAAAAAAAUAAUUGGAUGUGGUGGCCUGCAUCUGCAGUGCCAGCUACUUGGGAGGCUGAGGCAGAAGGAUUGCUUGAGCCCAGGAGGUCAAGACUGUAGUGAGCCAUGAUCACACCACUGUAUUCCAGCCUGGGCAACAGAGUAAGACCCAGUCUCAAAAAAAGAAAAAAAGCAUAUUUUUUCUUUAAACUUUUAUUAAAAUAUAACUCACCACCUGAAAAGUGUACUAAUCAGAAAAUUUAGGUCCAUGAAUUUCUACAAAGUGAACAAACUCAUGAAAUCAGCAUUAAAAACAAGCAACAGAGUAUUACCAGCAACCAAGAAGCUCCUUGUAUCACUACCUUCUCCUCCUCUGCCUAAAAGUAACUACUGUCCUGACUUCUAACACUAUUUUUGUUUUUUUGUUGUUUGCCUGAUUUGAACUUUGUAUAAAUUGAAUCAUACUGUGUGUACUCAUUUUUGUUGUCUUUAGCUCAACAGUAGUUUGUGAGAUUAAUCCAUGUUGUUGCAUAUAGAUGUAAUUUGUUCAUUAUAUUUGCUGUGGAGUAUUCCAUUGUGUGAAUGCACUUCAGCCUGUCCAUUUUGUUGAUAGACAGGGUUGUUAUGAAUAUCCUUAUAUAUGUCUUUUGGUGAACAUUUGUGCACAUUUCUCUUGGGUAUAUAAAGGAGUAGGAUUGCUGAGUCAUAGGCUUUGUAGAUAUUACUACAAUUUUCAAAGUAGUUUUAAUAGCGAUGUUGCCUACGCUGGUUGCGAACUCCUAAGCACAAGCAAUUCACCUGCUUCAGCCUCCCAAAGUGUUGGGGUUACAGGCGUGAACCACCACACCUGGCCAUCCUCGUUUUUAUAUAAUUGAUAACAUGUUCUAUUCAUAGUUACGUCUUUCUUAGUCUGUGUUUUUACAUUAUUAUGUCUAAUAUAAAUAUUUUUUAUUGCAGAACUGCCUAAUAUGCAGAUGAUGUUUCCUUCUCUCUAUAUAUUCCAGUUUUGUAACCUUGGUCCCAUUCAAAGCAAUAUUUUUUUCUCUUACCAAAUUGACUUACCCAGAUUUUCAGGGUAUUCCUUUCCCUUCUCAUUCCUUCUGCCUAUCCUAUUUAUUUCCUCUUAUUUCUUGGAGAUUUCCUUCCUGAAGCUUUCAUCACUGGCCCCAAACUGGAGUUUUCUCUUGGCUUGCCACGCACCAGGGAUCUGCGUUUAGGACAUCAUUGCUUUCUUGACUUAGAUCCACUGCUUUUGGAUCACUUUCUUCAAUCUUGCUUUAUGCCCUCAUUUUGUGGGCAUGUAUCUUCAUUUAACUUUUUAAUAAAAGGAUGUAGUCUUCAACAAGCUUUUGGUUCUCCCUGAACUUUGUGAAAUGAGGAAAUGAUUUGUGAUUCUUGCCUUACCACAUUAUUGGGAGGAUCAAGUAUAGUAAUGUAUAUAAAACCAUUAACCUCCUUUGUCAGGUUCCUUCGGAUUUGGUUUAGAACAUGUAUUCCAGCAGAAAACAGGGUGGUAAUCAAGUCAGUUAAGGGACCGUAGAUCAGGCUCUGGAGUUACAUUUGAGUUCUGUUAUGGGCUGAAUUGUGCUCCCCUCAAAAAUUAAUAAAAUAUGCCAAAGUUCCAACCCUCAACCUGUAUUUGGGAUAGAUCCUUUAACAAGGUAAUCAGGGUUAAUUAAAUGAGAUCAUAAAGAUGAGCAAUAAUUCAAUAAAACUGGUUUCCUUAUAAAAAGAGGAAGGGAGAACAGGAUUAUGCAUGUGGAGAAAAGGCUAUGAGAGGACACGGUGAGAAGACAGCCAUCUUCAAGCCAAGGUGAAAGGCCUCACCAAAACCCAACCCUGCCUGUACCCUGAUCUUGGACUUCUAGCCUCCGGAGCCACUUAGAGUGUGAUCUGUUAUGGAAGCCUUCACAGAUUAACACAAGUUCCAGUUUUAGCAUUUACUAGGUGUGAGAUCUCUUAAGACUGUUUUCCUUAUACACAAUGUGCUGAUGCCUAGUUUUGGGGUUGUAAGGAUUAAGUGAGCAAAUAAAGUGCUUUAUAUAGUCAGCAACAGGUUUGGUAGCCAUUCAGUAAAUAUUUGUUUUUCAUAAGCAUUAAAAGGGAUAUAAUUUGUUUUAAUGGAGCUGUGUCUGUUUAUGAUUUUAUUAUUUAAACAGAUAAUUCUGUUAGAAGCAAAUUUUCAGUGCCACAAAGGAAAUAGCACUCAAACAUUACUUUUCUCAGCAAGGCAAUUUUUACUUCUAUAGAAGGUGCAUCUUGCAGAUGGAGCAAUGGCGAGAGCACACCUGAACAGGGGAGGAGAAGGAAGGAGUUCUUAUCCCUGACACAGGUCGCCCCUACUGCUGUGUUGUUCCCUUAUUGACUAGGGUUAGACCACACAGUCUAAGCUGAUUCUGAUUGGCAAUUUAAAGAGAGCAGGGAUACAAGCUUUUAGUCACCUGUUCCAUAACCAUCUUUACCUCUGUCUUUUUGAAGGGAAAGACAUGGUUAUGGAACAGGUGACUAAAGAUGACUCAGGUCAGAGCAGGUGACCAGAGGUGACUCAGGAUGGAGCAGGUGACCAGGGAUAUAGAUAUGAACUACUGAUUAGAGCUGGCGGGAAGGUUGUUUACUGAUAUUAGAGGCAAGGAGAGGAAGGGAACAAGGAAGUUGAACUUUAAAAUGGAGAA